ACCACCCUGAACAUUUUCGUCAGGUUGAAAACACGAUGGUGUGUGUGUCAGUUCUACACUUUCCCAUUCAAACGAGCGUUCCACAGGAGGAGUUAGAAACAGUUGAUUGAUCACAGUGGGAUCAAACUCAAAAUGGCACCCCCUGAUGAACACACCAAACAAAGUAUAAUACUUGUUUCGAGAUACAUUCCCUAACAACCCUAGAACAGAAGGGACGAACAUGAGGAGUCAGAAACAGUUGAUUGAUCACAGUGGGAUCAAACUCAAAAUGGCGCCCCCUGAUGAACACACCAAACAAAGUAUAGUACUUUUUCGAGAUACAUUCCCUAACAACCCUAUGACGGAAGGGACGAACAUGCAUGACAAUGUAAAUCCAACCUACACUAUCGAUUAUGUGUUGAGCCUCAGC
rnacentral:lncRNA from 1 species